rnacentral:rRNA from 1 species
UACGGGGGGGGCAAGCGUUGUUCGGAAUUACUGGGCGUAAAGGGCGUGUAGGUGGCUAACUAAGUCCGACGUGAAAUCCCCAGGCUUAACCUGGGAACUGCGUCGGAUACUGGAUGGCUUGAAUUCGGGAGAGGGAUGCAGAAUUCCAGGUGUAGCGGUGAAAUGCGUAGAUAUCUGGAGGAAUACCGGUGGCGAAGGCGGCAUCCUGGACCGAGAUUGACGCUGAAGCGCGAAAGCCAGGGGAGCAAACAGG